GACGAACGCUGGCGGCGUGCCUAAUACAUGCAAGUAGAACGCACAGUUUAUACCUUAGCUUGCUACACCAUAGACUGUGAGUUGCGAACGGGUGAGUAACGCGUAGGUAACCUGCCUGGUAGCGGGGGAUAACUAUUGUAAACGAUAGCUAAUACCGCAUAAUAUUGAUUAUUGCAUGAUAAUUAAUUGAAAGGUGCAAUUGCACCACUACCAGAUGGAACUGCGUUGUAUUAGCUAGUAGGUGAGGUAACGGCUCACCUAGUCGACGAUACAUAGCCGACCUGAGAGGGUGGUCGGCCACACUGGGACUGAGACACGGCCCAGACUCCUACGGGAGGCAGCAGUAGGGAAUCUUCGGCAAUGGACGAAAGUCUGACCGAGCAGCGCCGCGUGAGUGAAGAAGGUUUUCGGAUCGUAAAGCUCUGUUGUAAGAGAAGAACGGGUGUGAGAGUGGAAAGUUCACACUGUGACGGUAUCUUACCAGAAAGGGACGGCUAACUACGUG
rnacentral:rRNA from 1 species